rnacentral:rRNA from 1 species
AGCAUGUGGUUAAUUCGAAGCAACGCGAAGAACCUUACCUGGGUUUGACAUAUACCGGAAAGCUGCAGAGAUGUGGCCCCCCUUGUGGUCGGUAUACAGGUGGUGCAUGGCUGUCGUCAGCUCGUGUCGUGAGAUGUUGGGUUAAGUCCCGCAACGAGCGCAACCCUAUCUUAUGUUGCCAGCACGUUAUGGUGGGGACUCGUAAGAGACUGCCGGGGUCAACUCGGAGGAAGGUGGGGACGACGUCAAGUCAUCAUGCCCCUUAUGUCCAGGGCUUCACACAUGCUACAAUGGCCAGUACAGAGGGCUGCGAGACCGUGAGGUGGAGCGAAUCCCUUAAAGCUGGUCUCAGUUCGGAUCGGGGUCUGCAACUCGACCCCGUGAAGUCGGAGUCGCUAGUAAUCGCAGAUCAGCAACGCUGCGGUGAAUACGUUCCCGGGCCUU